rnacentral:rRNA from 1 species
UGCAAGUCGAGGGGUAACAGGAAGUGCUUGCACUUCGCUGACGACCGGCGCACGGGUGAGUAUCGCGUAUACAAUCUGCCUCAUACUAGGGAAUAGCCCGAAGAAAUUUGGAUUAAUGCCCUAUAGUAUCUUUUUAAGGCAUCUUAUUAAGAUUAAAGGUUACGGUAUGAGAUGAGUAUGCGUUCUAUUAGCUAGUAGGUGUGGUAACGGCACACCUAGGCUACGAUAGAUAGGGGCCCUGAGAGGGGGAUCCCCCACACUGGUACUGAGACACGGACCAGACUCCUACGGGAGGCAGCAGUAAGGAAUAUUGGACAAUGGGCGAAAGCCUGAUCCAGCCAUGCCGCGUGCGGGAUGACUGCCCUAUGGGUUGUAAACUGCUUUUAUAUAGGAAGAAAAAUUUUCUCGUGAGAAAACUUGACGGUACUAUAAGAAUAAGGAUCGGCUAACUCCGUGCCAGCAGCCGCGGUAAUACGGAGGAUCCAAGCGUUAUCCGGAAUCAUUGGGUUUAAAGGGUCCGUAGGUGGACAAAUAAAGUCAGAGGUGAAAUCCUGCAGCUCAACUGUAGAACUGCCUUUUGAUACUGUUUGUCUUGAGUUAUUAUGAAGUGGUUAGAAUGUGUA